CCUACGGGAGGCUGCAGUGGAGAAUCUUGCGCAAUGGGCGAAAGCCUGACGCAGCCACGCCGCGUGAGGGAAGAAGGCCUUCGGGUUGUAAACCUCUUUCAGUGGGGAAGAAGCGAGAGUGACGGUACCCACAGAAGAAGCCCCGGCCAACUACGUGCCAGCAGCCGCGGUAAUACGUAGGGGGCGAGCGUUGUCCGGAAUCAUUGGGCGUAAAGCGCGUGUAGGCGGCCCAGUAAGUCGGAUGUGAAAGCCCGGGGCUCAACUCCGGAAUCGCAUUCGAUACUGUUGGGCUUGAGGAAGGUAGAGGAGAGUGGAAUUCCCGGUGUAGCGGUGGAAUGCGCAGAUAUCGGGAGGAACACCAGCGGCGAAGGCGGCUCUCUGGGCCUUACCUGACGCUGAGACGCGAAAGCAUGGGGAGCGAACAGGAUUAGAUACCCUU
rnacentral:rRNA from 1 species